GAUGAACGCUAGCGGCAGGCUUAAUACAUGCAAGUCAAGGGGGUAGCAAUACAACCGGCGCACGGGUGAGUAACGCGUACACAACAUACCAUAUACUGGAGUAUAGCUUUGGGAAACUGAAGGUAAUCCUCCAUAACAUUGCAAAAGGGCAUCUGAUUGCAAUUAAAGUUUCGGCGGUAUAUGAUUGGUGUGCGUUUGAUUAGCUAGUUGGUAGGGUAACGGCCUACCAAGGCGACGAUCAAUAGCUGGCGUGAGAGCGCGACCAGCCACACUGGAACUGAGACACGGUCCAGACUCCUACGGGAGGCAGCAGUAGGGAAUAUUGGACAAUGGGCGAAAGCCUGAUCCAGCCAUGCCGCGUGGUAGAUGAAGGCCCUCUGGGUUGUAAAUAUCUUUUAUCUGGGAAGAAACACUUCUAUUCUUAGAAGCUUGACGGUACCAGAGGAAUAAGCACCGGCUAACUCCGUGCCAGCAGCCGCGGUAAUACGGAGGGUGCAAGCGUUAUCCGGAUUCACUGGGUUUAAAGGGUGCGUAGGCGGGCUGAUAAGUCAGUGGUGAAAGCCCCGAGCUUAACUUGGAAACUGCCAUUGAUACUGCCAGUCUUGAAUAUCGUAGAGGUAAGCGGAAUGUUGCAUGUAGCGGUGAAAUGCUUAGAUAUGUUACAGAACACCAAUUGCGAAGGCAGCUUACUAUGCGAUGAUUGACGCUGAGGCACGAAAGCGUGGGGAGCAAACAGGAUUAGAUACCCUGGUAGUCCACGCCCUAAACGAUGAUUACUCGAUGUUGGCGAUACACUGUCAGCGUCUUAGCGAAAGCGUUAAGUAAUCCACCUGGGGAGUACGCUCGCAAGAGUG
rnacentral:rRNA from 1 species